rnacentral:rRNA from 1 species
GUCCACGCCGUAAACGAUGCAGACUUGACGUUAUGGGAUUCAACCCCCAUGGUGUCGUAGCUAACGCGAUAAGUCUGCCGCCUGGGGAGUACGCACGCAAGUGUGAAACUCAAAAGAAUUGACGGGGGCCCGCACAAGCAGUGGAGCAUGUGGUUUAAUUCGAUGCAACGCGAAAAACCUUACCUGGGUUUGACAUGCAAAGGACCGGUUUAGAAAUAGAUCUUCCCGCAAGGGUCUUUGCACAGGUGCUGCAUGGCUGUCGU